UGCGAGGGGGGCAAAUGUUGUUCGGAAUCACUGGGCGUAAAGGGAGCGUAGGCGGGUUUCUAAGUCAGGUGUUUAAUCCCGGGGCCCAACCCCGGACAGGCACUUGAAACUGGGAAUCUUGAAUAGUGGAGAGGUCAGUGGAAUUGGGGGUGUAGCGGUGGAAUGCGUAGAGAUCCCCAAGAACACCAGUUGCGAAGGCGGCUGACUGGACACAUAUUGACGCUGAGGCUCGAAAGCAUGGGGAGCAAACAGG
rnacentral:rRNA from 1 species